AUUGAACGCUGGCGGCAUGCCUUACACAUGCAAGUCGAACGGUAAGGCCCUUUCGGGGGUACGACGAGCGGCGAACGGGUGAGUAACACGUGGGUGACCUGCCCUCAGCUCUGGGAUAAGCCUGGGAAACCGGGUCUAAUACUGGAUAUGACUCCAUGACGCAUGUUGUGGGGUGGAAAGCCUUGUGCGGCUGAGGAUGGGCCCGCGGCCUAUCAGCUUGUUGGUGGGGUGAUGGCCUACCAAGGCGACGACGGGUAGCCGGCCUGAGAGGGCGACCGGCCACACUGGGACUGAGACACGGCCCAGACUCCUACGGGAGGCAGCAGUGGGGAAUCUUGCGCAAUGGGCGAAAGCCUGACGCAGCGACGCCGCGUGAGGGAUGACGGCCU
rnacentral:rRNA from 1 species